UACAGAGGGUGCGAGCGUUGUCCGGAAUUAUUGGGCGUAAAGAGCUCGUAGGCGGUGUGUCGCGUCGGCCGUGAAAACCUGCAGCUUAACUGUGGGCUUGCGGUCGAUACGGGCAUCACUGGAGUUCGGCAGGGGAGACUGGAAUUCCUGGUGUAGCGGUGAAAUGCGCAGAUAUCAGGAGGAACACCAAUGGCGAAGGCAGCUCGCUGGGACGGUACUGACGCUGAGGCGCGAAAGCGUGGGGAGCAAACAGG
rnacentral:rRNA from 1 species